rnacentral:rRNA from 1 species
GACGGGGGAUGCAAGUGUUAUCCGGAAUCACUGGGCGUAAAGCGUCUGUAGGUGGUCAAAUAAGUCAACUGUUAAAUCUUGAGGCUCAACCUCAAAAUCGCAGUCGAAACUAUUAGACUAGAGUAUAGUAGGGGUAAAGGGAAUUUCCAGUGGAGCGGUGAAAUGCGUAGAGAUCGGGAAGAACGCCGGCGGCGAAAGCGACUCUCUGGUCGGAAUCUGACGCUGAGGUGCGAAAGCUAGGGGAGCAAACGGGG